rnacentral:ncRNA from 1 species
GUUGUGAAAGGUGAUGGAGCUCACCAUAACCGCCUCGAGGCUAAUGGCUCCUGUGGAUGA